rnacentral:sRNA from 1 species
UGCCUUGAUGAUACUGGACUGAACCUCUGAACCUGAUAGUGACAUGUAUGGCACAACUCUAAUGUGGAAGUCAGAGGACAAGAUAUGGGAAUUGGUUCUUCCUUCCAGCACAUGGAUCUGGGGUUUUGACACCAGGUCCUGAGGUUCAACAGCAGGCAGACAGCAACUCUUUUGGGGAUUAACUACCCAUGAUCACACCCGCCUUCAAAAGAGGAAUCCGAACUUGAGCGCUGACUGGCUCAGGCUGGCUUGCUCCUGAGCUCACGAUCUGAACCACGGGUACCAGAAAGGGUCUUUGUCUCUUCCUAGGUCCCUAUUUGUGUGUCUUGAGUGACUUUCCUGAGAAGACAUGAACAAAUGUCUAUUUGUGCCAUGUGGGACAGCAGUCACAGACUAAAGAAACAGGGCCAUCAAUAUCUGACUUGGAAGCCCAGCUAGACUGAUGAACCAAUGAGGUUUUGCCAAACAUCGCAGCCCAGCAUGGACAACACCUCACAGAGAAUUCACAUCCCGAGAGCCCCGACACAGCCAGCAGACUGCUCCAUGGAACAGGAACAGUUCACUUUGAAGGAAAUAGCUACACAAUGCUAUGUUGCCACCAUGUUGAUUCUCAGCUUCUCCAAGCCCACCCACCACAACCACUAACUUUCAGACUAUUGGAUACAUUAAAGGUACUUAUGCACA